rnacentral:lncRNA from 1 species
CAGACCCAUGCAGGAGACCUCUCCAGGUACACAUAUUUCCUGCUGCUCAAUGGCUUAGACUGGGAUUUGCAAGGAAGUACGAAGUCCAAGACCUUUGCCUUUCUUUUAGAAGAAGGCACCAGCUGGUUCUCCAAUGUUGAAGGUCUUCUCCAGAGAUGAACUCUGAAAGCCACAUGUUGAGAUGGCCCCAUUACAGGAUGGAGAGCACCUGAACCCCCAAGUUAUGGACAAGAAGAAGACAGUUGCCUUGGAAAAUCAUCUGACCCACAUUGGACUUUACGUGAGGGGGAAAUAAACCUUUAUUAUGUUAAGCUACACAAUAAUAAAUAACAACAAUAAUUGUGUUUAUUUGUUA